rnacentral:rRNA from 1 species
GGCGUGGAUUAGGCAUGCAAGUCGCGCGACAAGGUUUUGUUAGCUUGCUAAUGAGACUGGAGGAGCGGCGAAAGGGAGAGUAACGCGUGGGUAUCUGCCCUCAGGUCUGGGAUAGCAGGGGGAAACCGCUGGUAAUACCGGAUAAUAUCUCAGGAUCAAAGGUGUGAUUCCGCCUGAGGAUGAGCCCGCGUCCUAUUAGGUAGUUGGUGGGGUAAUGGCCUACCAAGGCGACGAUCCAUAGCUGGUC